rnacentral:misc_RNA from 1 species
CCUGUUCGAGCGUCAUUACAACCCUCAAGCACUGCUUGGCAUUGGAUGUCACCAUUGUGGUACAUCUCAAAAGUAUUAGCAGUAGCAUUCAGCUUCUAGCGUAGUAAAUUUCACGCUUUGGAGUUAAGUGUCUAAUUGCUAGAACCCCUAAUUUAUCAAAAGUUGACCUCGGAUCAGGUAGGGAUACCCGCUGAACUUAA